AACGUUACCAAACUGUUGCCUCGGCGGGAUCUUCUGCCCCGGGUGCGUCGCAGCCCCGGACCAAGGCGCCCGCCGGAGGAAUCAACCAAAACUCUUAUUGUAUACCCCCUCGCGGGUUUUUUUUAUAAUCUGAGCCUUCUCGGCGCCUCUCGUAGGCGUUUCGAAAAUGAAUCAAAACUUUCAACAACGGAUCUCUUGGUUCUGGCAUCGAUGAAGAACGCAGCGAAAUGCGAUAAGUAAUGUGAAUUGCAGAAUUCAGUGAAUCAUCGAAUCUUUGAACGCGCAUUGCGCCCGCCAGUAUUCUGGCGGGCAUGCCUGUCCGAGCGUCAUUUCAACCCUCGAACCCCUCCGGGGGGUCGGCGUUGGGGAUCGGCCUUCCUUCACGGGGGCCGUCUCCGAAAUACAGUGGCGGUCUCGCCGCAGCCUCUCCUGCGCAGUAGUUUGCACACUCGCAUCGGGAGCGCGGCGCGUCCACAGCCGUUAAACACCCAACCUUCUGAAAUGUUGACCUCGGAUCAGGUAGGAAUACCCGCUGAACUUA
rnacentral:rRNA from 1 species